rnacentral:rRNA from 1 species
AACGAACGCUGGCGGCAUGCCUAACACAUGCAAGUCGAACGAGAUCUUCGGGUCUAGUGGCGCACGGGUGCGUAACGCUUGGGAAUCUGCCCUUUGGUUCGGAAUAACAGUUGGAAACGACUGCUAAUACCGGAUGAUGACGAAAGUCCAAAGAUUUAUCGCCAGAGGAUGAGCCCGCGUAGGAUUAGCUAGUUGGUGUGGUAAAGGCGCACCAAGGCGACGAUCCUUAGCUGGUCUGAGAGGAUGAUCAGCCACACUGGGACUGAGACACGGCCCAGACUCCUACGGGAGGCAGCAGUGGGGAAUAUUGGACAAUGGGCGAAAGCCUGAUCCAGCAAUGCCGCGUGAGUGAUGAAGGCCUUAGGGUUGUAAAGCUCUUUUACCCGGGAUGAUAAUGACGGUACCGGGAGAAUAAGCUCCGGCUAACUCCGUGCCAGCAGCCGCCGUAA